rnacentral:rRNA from 1 species
UACAGAGGUCUCAAGCGUUGUUCGGAUUCAUUGGGCGUAAAGGGUGUGUAGGUGGCGCCGUAAGUCGGGUGUGAAAUUUCGGAGCUUUAACUCCGAAACUGCCAUUCGAUACUGCGGUGCUUGAGGACUGGAGAGGACGACUGGAAUUCAUGGUGUAGCAGUGAAAUGCGUAGGGAUCAUGAGGAAGACCAGUGGCGAAGGCGGGUCUCGUGGACAGUUCCUGACACUGAGACACGAAGGCCAGGGGAGCAAACGGG